rnacentral:rRNA from 2 species
AUGGUUAAGUUAGAAAGGGCGCACGGUGAAUGCCUUGGCACUAGGAGCCGAUGAAGGACGGGACUAACACCGAUAUGCUUCGGGGAGCUGUAAGUGAGCUUUGAUCCGGAGAUUUCCGAAUGGGGAAACCCACUGUUCGUAAUGGAACAGUAUCUUUAUCUGAAUACAUAGGAUAUUGAAGGCAGACCCGGGGAACUGAAACAUCUAAGUACCCGGAGGAAGAGAAAGCAAAUGCGAUUUCCUGAGUAGCGGCGAGCGAAACGGAAUUAGCCCAAACCAAGAGGCUUGCCUCUUGGGGUUGUAGGACACUCUAUACGGAGUUACAAAGGAACGAAGUAAAUGAAGCGACCUGGAAAGGUCCGUCAAAGAAGGUAACAACCCUGUAGUUGAAACUUCGUUCCCUCUUGAGUGGAUCCUGAGUACGGCGGAACACGUGAAAUUCCGUCGGAAGCUGGGAGGACCAUCUCCCAAGGCUAAAUACUACCUAGUGACCGAUAGUGAACCAGUACCGUGAGGGAAAGGUGAAAAGCACCCCGGAAGGGGAGUGAAAGAGAUCCUGAAACCGUGUGCCUACAAGUAGUCAGAGCCCGUUAAUGGGUGAUGGCGUGCCUUUUGUAGAAUGAACCGGCGAGUUACGAUCCCAUGCAAGGUUAAGCUGAUAAGGCGGAGCCGUAGCGAAAGCGAGUCUGAAUAGGGCGUUUAGUAUGUGGUUGUAGACCCGAAACCAGGUGAUCUACCCAUGUCCAGGGUGAAGUUCAGGUAACACUGAAUGGAGGCCCGAACCCACGCACGUUGAAAAGUGCGGGGAUGAGGUGUGGGUAGCGGAGAAAUUCCAAUCGAACCUGGAGAUAGCUGGUUCUCUCCGAAAUAGCUUUAGGGCUAGCCUCAUGUUGUGAGAGUCUUGGAGGUAGAGCACUGAUUGGACUAGGGGCCCCCAACGGGUUACCGAAUUCAGUCAAACUCCGAAUGCCAAAGACUUAUCCAUGGGAGUCAGACUGCGAGUGAUAAGAUCCGUAGUCAAAAGGGAAACAGCCCAGACCACCAGCUAAGGUCCCCAAGUAUACGUUAAGUGGAAAAGGAUGUGGAGUUGCUUAGACAACCAGGAUGUUGGCUUAGAAGCAGCCACCAUUUAAAGAGUGCGUAAUAGCUCACUGGUCGAGUGACUCUGCGCCGAAAAUGUACCGGGGCUAAACGUAUCACCGAAGCUGUGGAUUGACAUCUUUGAUGUCAGUGGUAGGAGAGCGUUCUAAGUGCUGUGAAGUCAGACCGUAAGGACUGGUGGAGCGCUUAGAAGUGAGAAUGCCGGUAUGAGUAGCGAAAGACAAGUGAGAAUCUUGUCCACCGAAUGCCUAAGGUUUCCUGAGGAAGGCUCGUCCGCUCAGGGUUAGUCGGGACCUAAGCCGAGGCUGAAAAGCGUAGGCGAUGGCCAACAGGUUGAUAUUCCUGUACCACCUCCCCGCCGUUUGAGUAAUGGGGGGACGCAGUAGGAUAGGGUAAGCGCGCUGCUGGAUAUGCGCGUUCAAGCAGUUAGGCUGAUGAGUAGGCAAAUCCGCUCAUCAUAAAGGCUGAGCUGUGAUGACGAGGGAAUUAUAGUACCGAAGUUCCUGAUUCCACACUGCCAAGAAAAGCCUCUAGCGAGGCGGGAGGUGCCCGUACCGCAAACCGACACAGGUAGGCGAGGAGAGAAUCCUAAGGUGAUCGAGAGAACUCUCGUUAAGGAACUCGGCAAAAUGACCCCGUAACUUCGGGAGAAGGGGUGCUCUGGUAGGGUGUAUAGCCCGAGAGAGCCGCAGUGAAUAGGCCCAGGCGACUGUUUAGCAAAAACACAGGUCUCUGCGAAGCCGCAAGGCGAAGUAUAGGGGCUGACGCCUGCCCGGUGCUGGAAGGUUAAGAGGAGGGGUUAUCCUUUGGGAGAAGCUCUGAAUCGAAGCCCCAGUAAACGGCGGCCGUAACUAUAACGGUCCUAAGGUAGCGAAAUUCCUUGUCGGGUAAGUUCCGACCCGCACGAAAGGCGUAACGAUCUGGGCACUGUCUCAACGAGAGACUCGGUGAAAUUAUAGUACCUGUGAAGAUGCAGGUUACCCGCGACAGGACGGAAAGACCCCGUGGAGCUUUACUGUAGCCUGAUAUUGAAUUUUGGUACAGCUUGUACAGGAUAGGUAGGAGCCUGAGAAGCCGGAGCGCUAGCUUCGGUGGAGGCGUCGGUGGGAUACUACCCUGGCUGUAUUGAAAUUCUAACCCGCGGCCCUGAUCGGGCCGGGAGACAGUGUCAGGUGGGCAGUUUGACUGGGGCGGUCGCCUCCUAAAAUGUAACGGAGGCGCCCAAAGGUUCCCUCAGAAUGGUUGGAAAUCAUUCGUAGAGUGUAAAGGCACAAGGGAGCUUGACUGCGAGACCUACAAGUCGAGCAGGGACGAAAGUCGGGCUUAGUGAUCCGGUGGUUCCGCAUGGAAGGGCCAUCGCUCAACGGAUAAAAGCUACCCCGGGGAUAACAGGCUUAUCUCCCCCAAGAGUCCACAUCGACGGGGAGGUUUGGCACCUCGAUGUCGGCUCAUCGCAUCCUGGGGCUGUAGUCGGUCCCAAGGGUUGGGCUGUUCGCCCAUUAAAGCGGUACGCGAGCUGGGUUCAGAACGUCGUGAGACAGUUCGGUCCCUAUCCGUCGUGGGCGUAGGAAAUUUGAGAGGAGCUGUCCUUAGUACGAGAGGACCGGGAUGGACACACCGCUGGUGUACCAGUUGUCUUGCCAAAGGCAUCGCUGGGUAGCUAUGUGUGGACGGGAUAAGUGCUGAAAGCAUCUAAGCAUGAAGCCCCCCUCAAGAUGAGAUUUCCCAUAGCGCAAGCUAGUAAGAUCCCUGAAAGAUGAUCAGGUUGAUAGGUCAGAGGUGGAAGCGUGGCGACAUGUGUAGCUGACUGAUACUAAUCGAUCGAGGACUUAACCAAAC